AUGAUCAAUUCUUGAUUGAAAACAUGUGGAAUACUACUUCCAUUAGUAUCAAUUGAAUACCUUUGAUUUAAACUGCACCAAUUUUGUAUAAUGGCACUAUCAUUGUACAGUUAACCCCUUUCAAGGAAAUAUUACAUCAUUGCAACACUGUUAUACUGAUUUGGCUGAUUUAUUGGUACUGUUAUUGAUAUAGAAUAAUUAAAAUUGACACUAUAUGAACAAAUCUUGAUAGUGUCAUCCUGCCUGCAAAACUGGAAAAUAAAAUUUAAUCAUCAUUUUGCUUUAUAUUGGAUGUUGUAAAUUGCUUCAUAUAUGUUUCAGUCCUUAUGUUUACUAUUUUCAUAUUCUCCUGUCAAAUUUUAAUGGCGUUCUGUUUGUUCGAAACUUGAUAUAUCAAGAUUACUUAUUUGACAUGUAUCAGGUAGAAUAGAGUUAUGAAAUUUCAUCUUGCUAACCAUUUAUCAUUUAUAUUUCAGAUGGAUAUUGAGUCGUGCAUUUCUAUUGAUUUUGACAUUGAAAAUAUCCUUACUGUGAAACUAUUUUCUUUGUUAUUUUUCUGUGAGAAUGGAAACUAUCAUUUUAAUGUCCUGUGUGUUAGAGGAAAAGAGCUUUUGGAAUUAUUAUGCAUUGCCUGUUACUAUUAGUGCUAUUGCUACUUUCUUCUUCUUCUUGUUUUUCCUCUUCUUUUUCAGCUGAACCCAACUAGAACAGAUACUGAUGCAUUGUUGGUAUAGGCUUCCUUUGAUGCAUAUCUACAGCUGUACAAAGAGUGUUAUUAUAUGACAGGCAUAGAGAUAUGAGGCUUGAUGUUGAUAAUGUCUUAUGAGGAGCUACUUGCAUUGACAGAGAGAAUAGGAAAUGUGAGCACUGGAAUUAGUGAAUAAACUAUUGUGAAGUUCCUGAAGCAGAGGAAAUAUAUUUCCCUUACCGAGGAAACCCCUAGUGAUGUUGAACCAUGCUGCAUUUGUCAGGAAGAGUAUGUCGAAGAGGACGAGGUCGGAAGACUGGACCGUGGGCAUGAUUUCCACACCGCUUGCAUAAAACAGUGGCUGAUGAUGAAAAACUUGUGUCCUGUUUGCAAAACUACAGGCAUUGCCAACAUCAAAUGAUAGAAGAAUAUAUGCACAUUGCAAAAUUAAUUGAAGAUGCCGUUGGUACGACAAUAGCUUGGCCAUCAGACAAAGUUGUUAUGCUUUAAAAAGCUGUAGUACUAGUACUCAAUUUCUGAAGAUGAUGAGUCUCCCAAGCCAUAUGUAAUGCAGCAAAGUUAAUUUUUGUUGUUCUGUGUACUAUGGUUAAUUUCUUGUACUCCAUGUUGGAUUAUCCAAAGACUAGUAUUUGUUUUUUGACACAUUUGUGUUGACUCUUCUUGUAUGCUACAACUUGGUUAUGUAUCAGUUUGAACCCUUAAAUGAAAUAUUUUCUUUUAUGAUUGUCA